AACGAACGCUGGCGGCAUGCCUAACACAUGCCAGUCGAACGAGACCUUCGGGUCUAGUGUCGCACGGGUUCGUAACGCGUGGGAUCCUGCCCUUAGGUUUGGAAUAACUCCCCGAAAGGGGUGCUAAUACCGGAUAAUGUCUUCUGACCAAAAAUUUAUCGCCUUUGGAUGGUCCCUCGUUGGAUUAGCUAUUUGGUAGGGUAAAAGCCUACCAAGGCGACGAUCCAUAGCUGGUUUGAGAGGAUGAUCAGCCACACUGGGACUGAGACACGGCCCAGAAUCCUACGGGAGGCAGCAGUGGGGAAUAUUGGACAAUGGGCGAAAGCCUGAUCCAGCAAUGCCGCGUGAGCGAUGAAGGCCUUAGGGUUGUAAAGCUCUUUUACCCGGGAUGAUAAUGACAGUACCGGGAGAAUAAGCUCCGGCUAACUCCGUG
rnacentral:rRNA from 1 species